AUGGCGGCACUUGUAGAUUUGCUGCCAAAAGAAUAUGGCUUUGUGGCUAUUGUUCUCGUUAUCUAUUGCUUCCUCAAUUUCUACAUGACCUUUCAUGUCGGCAAAGCUCGCAAGAAGUACAAAGUGUUUUAUCCAACACUCUAUGCUUCUGAAUCUGAAAACAAAGAUGCCAAGCUCUUCAAUUGUGUUCAGAUCUGCUAA